AGCUUUGUGCAGUGGCAGUAUUGUAGCCAAUGAGGUUUAUCCGAGGCGCGAUUAUUGCUAAUUGAAUAAUUUUAUGUUCAUUGUGAUUUUUGUAAUCAGUAAUGUG
rnacentral:snRNA from 1 species